UACGUAGGGGCAAGCGUUGUCCGGAAUCAUUGGGCGUAAAGCGCACGUAGGCGGCCCGGUAAGUCCGUUGUGAAAGUCAGAGGCCUCAAACCUCUGGAGGCCAUGGAUACUGCCGGGCUAGAGUCGGAAGAGGCGAGUGGAAUUCCUGGAUGUAGCGGUGGAAUGCGCAGAUAUCAGGAGGAACACCAAUGGCGAAGGCAGCUCGCUGGGACGGUACUGACGCUGGAGGUGCGAAAGCUAGGGGAGCAAACGGGAUUAGAAACCCU
rnacentral:rRNA from 1 species